rnacentral:lncRNA from 1 species
AGCUUUCCUGGAGCCAUUGCACCAGUACAUUAACUCUAUGUAGAAACUGCCAAAAGUGUUACUGCAUCAGAAUGUAUGGCUUGUACAUCAGGUUUGCUGUUCCAGGAUCAGGAACACAAUCUCCAGUUCUGUGAUUGUGUACUAAUAAACUGUCCAGCUGGGCUUAGUUCUGGAAGCUCCCUUUGUUGCAUACAAAAUAUGCGAGCAUUCAGUUCAGAGGGAAAACGUGACAAUUCUGAGGCAUAAAGCUAAGUUUGCCUUCAGGUAACUUAACAUCUGAUCCUGUAGCUGGGCUGCUGUUUUGAUAUCCUCAUUGAUGAUUCCAUUUUUCCGGAAGUCAUACAUCUGUAGCUGGCUCAUUUGAGCAAAGCUGCAUAAUACCUUUAUAAUGAGUCUGAUACUCUAGAUUAUUGUUAGAGAAGAAGAAAAAGAAAAAAAAAAAAAGAAAAAAAAAAGAAAAAAGAAAAAAAAAAGAAAAAAGAAAAAAAAAGAAGAAAGAAGAAGGAAGGAAGGAAGGAAGGAAGGCUUUGAUAACUUAGAGGAAGAAUACUGCAACUGUCCCUUUUAAAGCAGAAUCUGAAGUUCUCUCACUCUGCUACUGACUUGCUAUAGAAACUUCUUUGGACAAUUCAUUUCAUAACUCAGUGCUUCUAUUUCUCUGUGUAUUUACUGGAGGCCAUAAAUGAUGAUUAUCUUCACUAGUAAAUCAUUUUGAAAUCCACAGACUAUAUGUUGAAUGGCCAAACAGGAUUUAUAAAUAAAAGUAAGCCAUAGACUACAUAAAUAAAUGCCUAAGGUUUUUGUGAUGAACUGUUGUGAUGAACAGUUAUAUAGAUCUAAUUUAUGAAAACACUUAAAAGUAUUCCAUUGAAGCAACUGGUAGUCUUAUGUUUGUCUUGCAAAUGAACAACUCAUCAUAUAUUCCUUUGUUAUACUUCUAAUUAGUUAUCUUAAAUUGUCCUGUUACUGCAACAAGGACUCCCAACAAUUGUGAUUAUGAUUUCUUAAUUACCUCUUUGUAAACAUGUUACAGGAACGCUGCAAAGAGAAGAACUGACAAUUUUAGAUGAAUUACUUCUCCCUACCUCACCUCUGUUCUAGUCAACAGCUAGACAAUGAACAAUAGUCUAUGUUCUUAAAAUAAUACAAUUAGCACUUUCUAAAAGCUUUAACUAAAGACAUAGGUACUCAGCUGAUGUAAAAUAUCUAAUCUCCCAUGAAAUCAGUAGAGUUAGAUUAAUU